AAAACGGCCCUUUUCAGGGCCAAUAAAUAUUUACGAAAAGAAGUUUU
rfam:Tetranychus urticae London genomic scaffold, scaffold_13